rnacentral:rRNA from 1 species
CAGCCGCCGCGGGAAUACGUAGGUGGCAAGCGUUGUCCGGAAUUAUUGGGCGUAAAGGGCUCGCAGGCGGUUUCUUAAGUCUGAUGUGAAAGCCCCCGGCUCAACCGGGGAGGGUCAUUGGAAACUGGGAAACUUGAGUGCAGAAGAGGAGAGUGGAAUUCCACGUGUAGCGGUGAAAUGCGUAGAGAUGUGGAGGAACACCAGUGGCGAAGGCGACUCUCUGGUCUGUAACUGACGCUGAGGAGCGAAAGCGUGGGGAGCGAACAGGAUUAGAUACCCGGGUAGUCCCUGUCUCUUAUAC